UAAAGAACACUAAUAAUAAGAAGAGACUUGCUUGGGCCAAGAAACAGAGCAAUGGAUAUUAGACUGGUGGAAAUCUGUCCUUUUGUCUGAUGAGUCCAAAUUUUAGAUUUUUGGUUCCAACCGCCAAGUCUUUGUGAGACGCAGAGUAGGUGAAUGGAUGAUCUCCGCAUGUGUGGUUCCCACUGUGAAGCACGGAGGAGGAGGUGUGAUGGUGUGGGGUUGCUGUCUGUGAUUUAUUUAGAAUUCCAGGUACACUUAACCAGCAUGGCUACCACAGCAUUCUGCAGCGAUACGCCAUCCCAUCUGGUUUGAGCUUAGUGCGAGUAUCAUUUGUUUUUCAACAGGACAAUGACCCAAAACACACCUCCAGGCUGUGUAAUGCCGGUUUGACCAAGGAGAGUGAUGGAGUGCUGCAGAUGACCUGUCCUCCACAAUCCCCCAACUUCAACCCAAUUGAGAUGGUUUGAGAUGAGUUGGACCGCAGAGUGAAGGAAAAGCAGCCAACAAGUGCUCAGUACAUGUGGGAACUCCUUCAAGACUGUUGGAAAAACAUUCCUCAUGAAGCUGCUUGAGAGACUGCCAAGAGUGUGCAAAGCUGUCAUCAAGGCAAAGGCUCAGCAGGUGUUCAUCCUGGGGCCUAGCAGGGGCUGCCGCUGUGAUGUGCAGGAAUGUGUCGGGCGAGGGGGACACCAGGCUGGUGGAGCUGGAGAGGGAUUAGUGCCCAGCACCCACCAACCCCUCACAGCAGGAGCUGUCAUGUCAACCCAGCCUCACUCUGAUUGGGUAUUGGUCAGGGGACAGUUUCAGGUCACAGCACCGGCAGCCUUGAACGCUGGGCACACCAUUCUCUCUCACAAUGUACAGCAGGCAACAUAUACAUGCUCUGACAACCCACGGUGGAGCAACAAAAGAGGAAGGGGAGGUUGAGUCUCUAUCGAUUACCCUCUUCGACCCACUCUAUUGGACUCAUUAGCUGUGGAAUACGACCGGAUCCAUAGACAUUCCAGGUCCAAUAUGAUUUCAGACGGAAUGUCAGGCAUUACAAAAUUGACCCUGGAGUGAUUUGUGGGAGAUGGAGGAGGAGAAGGACGAAAAAAGUUAACUGUGCAUGAUGGAGAAAAGGAAACAUCUCCCCAUCACAUCUACAGAAACCAGCACUUCACCAGAGACCCCCAGACAGACACAGGGAAGAGAGGAAGAGGGACCGAGGGGGGCGGGAGGCCGGUGGUGGCUGGUCCACUCCAGGAAUCUGAGGCGAGGGAGGUCCCUCCGCCCCCUUUGGACAUCGAGGGGGCCCUGGUGUACUCCGUUCGUUCCAUCCUGGAUUCGAGGCAUCGGGCAGGGGGCCUUCAGUACCUUGUGGAGUGGGAGGGAUACGGUCCGGAGGAGAGGUGCUGGGUCCCGGUUGCGGAUGUUUUGGACCCCGAACUGCUGCGGGAGUUUCACCAUCGCCGGCUGGAUCGCCCUGCGCUUCGCCCUCCGCAUCGUCCUGAGGUCGGUGUCGGCGUGCCACUGGAGCCGCUCGUCAAGGGAGGGGUACUGUCACGACUUCCGCCGAAGUCGGCUCCUCUCCUUGUUCAGGCGGCGUUCGGCGAUCGACGUCACCGGCUUUCUAGCCAUCGCCGCUCCAUUUCUCAUAUGUCCAUUUGUUUUGUCUUGUUCCAUACACACCUGGUUUACAUUCCCCAAUCAAUCUACAUGUAUUUAGUCCUCUGUUCCCCAUCAUGUCUUUAUGUGUAAUUGUUUAUUGUUACGUGGGAUAUUUGUCAGGCGCUGCACUUUUGUUAUUAGACCGUGUUUUUGGCACUAGUAUGUUUUAGGUGCUGUCGUUGUUGACCGGUAUUAAAGUGCGCCUGUUUAUUAUACUCCAAGGGAAGCUUCUUCUUCAUGACACCCACCAGUAUUAUUAGAAACAUCAGUCAAGCUGUUAGGGCCUUGCAAACAGAAGUGCCUGCUGAUGUCCCAUUCCCCAUGUGAUGUAUGGUUAGCCCUCACUCGACAAACAUGUAGGGCAAGGGCCAUGCACCAGGGCACCCCUUGUUGAUGAAGUGGCACCACCCUAAACAAAUUCCCACAAAGGCAGGAAGGGCAGGGGCAUUGAACCCCUACUCCCUAGAAAAAGGCCUUCCCGUCCACUCAGCCCUGUGUACAGGGCAUUGACUGUAAGGACACACAGGGAGGAGCACAACGAUGGGCAAUACAGGCUGUUUUUCCUGUUGAAGCAUUCUUUGUGUGAGAGAAGAGGACUCCUCUCUGGAAACACAGGAAGGCUCACCAGGGGUCGGCAGAGGAAUGUAAACACACACAUAGACUCCCUCCACACCACAGAGUGUGCUGUGUGCAAACUUGACAUAUCCCAUAGGUCUUCCCCCGGAAUGAAAAACAUAAACAUCACGCUGAUUUCACUUGUGUGGAUAAUGGACGGAUGUUAACUUGCUUACCCGUAAAACUUCAAUUAAAUGCUGAGUCUCAAAUAGACUUCAGCCAACCAAGUCAUAGACGGUUCUCUCUGCUGCCGCACGGCAAGUGGUACCGUUGCACCAAGUCUGGACCCAACAGGACCCAGCUUCUAUCCCCAAGCCAUAAGGCUGCUAAAUAGUUAGUUAAAUAGUUAACCUAAUUGCUACCCAGACUAAAAAGGCAAAAAAGAUCAUCAAGGACAACAACCACCCGAGCCACUGCCUUUUCACCCCGCUAUCAUCCAGAAGGCGAGGCCAACAGACUGUUAAAUAGCCAUCACUAGCACAUUAGAGUCUGCUGCCCUAUAUACAUAGACUUGAAAUCACUGGUGACUUUAGUAAUGGAACACUAGUCACUUUAAUAAUCUUUACAUACUGCUUUACUCAUCUCAUAUGUAUAUACUGUAUUCUAUUCUACUGUAUCUUAUUCUAUGCCGCUCUGACAUUGCUCAUCCAAAUAUUUAUAUAUUCUUAAUUCCAUUCCUUUACUUAAGAUUUGUGUGUAUUGUUGUGAAAUGUUAGAUAUUACUUGUUAGAUAUUACUGCACUGUUGGAGCUAGAAACACACGCAUUUCGCUACACUCGCAAUAACAUCUGCUAAACACGUGUAUGUGACCAAAAAAAUGUGAUUUGAUUAGAUUUUGACUAUCGGCAUUGACCCUUUUUGCACUAACUUUUUUUGACUCAUCACAUACGCUGCUGCUACUGUUUACUAUCUGUCACUUUACUCCGAGUUAUAUGUCACCUAAAACACUCACCCCGCCCUCAACCUCAAUGCUCUCCAGAGGGUAGUGCGGUCUGCACAACACAUCACCGGGGGCAAACUAACUGCCCUCCAAGACACCUACCGCACCCGAUGUCACAGGAAGGUCAAAAAGAUCAUCAAGGACAACAACCACUGCCUGUUCACCCCGCUAUCAUCCAGAAGGCGAGGUCAGUACAGGUGCAUCAAAGCUGGGACCGAGAGACUGAAAAACAGCUUCUAUCUCAAAGCCAUCAGACUGUUAAACAGCCAUCACUAACAUUGAGUGGCUGCUGCGAACAUACAGACACAAAUCUCUGGCCACUUAAAUAAAUUGACUUAAUAAAUGUAUCACUAGUCACUUUAAAUAACGCCACUUUAAUAAGGUUUACAUAUCCUACAUUACUUAUCUCAUAUGUAUAUACUGUAUUCUAUACCAUCUACUGCAUCUUGCCUAUGCAGCACGGCCAUCGCUCAUCCAUAUAUUUAUAUGUACAUAUUCUUAUUCAUCCCUUUACAUUUGUGUGUAUAAGGUAGUCAUUGUGAAUUUGUUAGAUUACUGUUAGAUUACUUACGGGAAGGACCCGUAAGUAAGCAUUUCACUGUUAGUCUACACCUGUUGUUUACAAAGCAUGUAGUGAAUAAAAUUGUAUUUUAUUUGGCCAUGCAUGACUGACCGUAGCGGCAAAGCCAGCAAAAUGCAAAGGGUUUGUUUCAAACUGUCUCUUUUCAUGUACUGUAGUAUCUAAAAGACAGGUCUUCUGCUGCCAAAUCUGUACCCCUAGCCACUAGCUAAAUCCACACAGAUUUACCCAUGACUUGACUUUGGAACAUUGUUAUUUUUUCUUUGCAUCAGGGUUUUUUCCCAUCCUGCCAAAUGAUGUUGGUUGUUCUGUUAGAAGUGAGCUCGGGAUCAAAAGGAGGGAUGGUGUGAUGGGUGUAUGGGCAUGGGGGGGUGUUGCAGCUGUCUGGAUCAAAUGGAUCAGAGUCAACUGGGGUGGGGUGGUUUAGGCAGGGGGCUCAUAGGGGACACCUAUUCUUCUGUGUCAUAGCCAGCCUGCACGGCACAUAUGCCAGUCCCAAGGCCACUCUGAAAGCCAUGCCCCCAUGCAGCCUUCUCAACUGUAACUCUGUGUAAUAACAUGGCCUGUUCUUCCAUUAAUGGUUUCCAUGAUGCGGCCGUCCUCUUCACUCCACUGAAAUGUGUGUGAGUGAUAUAUAUAUAUAUAUGUCCCCAGCAGACACACGUUGUGAAUGUGUGUACAUGAGCACUUUGUUUGAGUUUUGUUUUCAGACACCAAGACAAUAGAAAUGCCAAAACAGAUGUAGAAACAGUUAGAGUGGUGUUGCGGAUGUUUGUACUCCCUCUCUCCCCCUCGCCUUGUGAUUGCACAUCAACGUUGUAGAGUAAGUGUUAAAGUGCCUGUGAUUGAUUUGGUUGUUUAGCUCCUUGAAGCAGUAGUCUGUUAAUGAAGGAGCCCUGAACUCGGACUGCAGAGAGUGGUGAGAUCACAGACAGCCCCUGGACAACACUGUCCUUGGAACAAUGGUUAACCCUAAUUAGAAGUGUUAUUUGUAACAUAGGCAGCUUUUUGUGCAGCCACUGGCCAUUGUCAUUUAACCCAAAAGGCGAUAAUGCUUGAUAGUGGGUUAGGUGUUUGAAGGUUUUAAUGGUACCUGGUAAAAGUGGUGAACAGUUGAGAACAGCUGACAUGGGUUAAGGAAGUGAGAGAAGCACUGUCAUGGCAAAUACACACACUCCCUACUGUUUGUUUGCUCCCAGCUUGGGGAGGUGGGCUGAGCUGGUUUCAACACUGACUGAUUUAUAGUUUGGCGCUGUCUAUCAAGCAGCUGACAGAUGGACAUUGCACUGCAACCUCAGCAGCACAGCAGACACAUCACUUUCCAAACUCCAUCCAUUUCACUACCAACUGGAAUGCUAAGGAUAAGUCAAUGGGGCAUUCUUUUCUACACUUUUGACUACUUUAAUACACAUAUAAGUGAAUUUGUCCCAAUACUUUUGGUCCCCUAAAAUGGGGGACUAUGUACAAAAAGUGCUUUAAUUUCUAAAUGGAAAAGACCCUCAAAUUAAAGCUGACAGUCUGCACUUUAUUGUCACAGUCAUUGUAUCAUUUCAAAUCGAAAGUCCUGGAGUACAGAACCAAAAC
rnacentral:lncRNA from 1 species